GCUCUCUUAGCCCUUUCCAUCCGUAACGCAGACGUCGACGUCACAGUAUGGAAAGGGUCAAGAGGAAAUGGAAGAGGAUUAAUCCUCUUCUAAACCUCUCAAUCCUCCUCUAAAUUCCUCUUAAUCCUCUUCCAUUUCCUCUUAAGAGGUUUAGAAGAGGAUUAAGAGGAAAUGGAAGAGGAUUAAGAGGUUUAGAAGAGGACUGACGGUGACGCUGGCAUCGCCGGAGUGAAGGGGUUAACUGACUCUUGGUCAGCCUCUCUUUGCCGUUUUGGUGAAACUUUCUCAGUUGUGCUAGACAUAUCGAAAGCUUUCGAUAGAGUCUCGCAUAAGUCUUUGCUUUCUAAACUGCCCUCUUUAGGAUUCUAUCCCUCUUUCUGUUCCUUCAUCUCCAGUUUCCUUUCCAGCCAUUUUAUCUCUGCUGUGGUAGACAGUCACUGUUCGUCUCCUAAACCUAUCAACAGUGGUGUUCCACAGGGCUCUGUCCUAUUGCCCACUCUCUUCCUGUUAUUCAUCAAUGAUCUUCUUUCCAUAACAAACUGUCCUAUCCACUCAUACGCUGAUGACUCCACUCUGCAUUAUUCAACUUCUUUCAACAGAAGACCCUCAACAGGAAUUACAAGACUCCAGACUGGAGGCUGCAAAACGCUUAACCUCAGACCUUGCUAUCAUUUCCGAUUGGGGUAAAAGGAACCUUGUGUCCUUCAAUGCCUCAAAAACCCAUUUUCUCCACCUAUCAACUCGAUACAAUCUUCCAAACACCUAUCCCCUAUUCUUCAAUAACUUUUUGCUGUCACCUUCUUCAACACUAAAUAUCCUCGGUCUAUCGUUAGCUCAAAAUCUCAACUGGAGACUUCACAUCUCCUCUCUCACUAAAUCAGCUUCCUCGAGGUUGAGCGUUCUUUAUCUUCUCCGCCAGUUCUUCUCCCCCACACAAAUGCUUUCCAUUUAUAGGGGCCUUGUCCGCCCUCGUAUGGAGUAUGCGUCUCACGUGUGUCGGGGCUCCACUCACACAGCUCUCCUGGAUAGAGUGGAGUGUAACACCGGGAUUAUCAGUCAAUCUCUUCCCCCUUCCAGUGAGGAAAGCAGGCUUCGUGCACCAAACGGUACUAUCAGUGACAACCGCGCGAAGUGUAGUACCAACAGUACAUGGAAAGAUAGCUUCUGAGGGGGAAGAUAAGUGGGCGCUUGCUAAUAGUACCUCCAAAUGGAAACACACACCCUAAGAGACGCUUUGACGAAGAGGGAAGAGGUUUGCUGAUAAUCCCGCCAUCAGGUUAGAAUUAAAUUCAAGAAUCUGCGGACAUACUUCAUUGGUGCAUACAACAAAUUCAAAAAGGCCCGCAGUGAAUCCAAGAAAUGUCCCGGGAAUAAGUGGCCACUGUUUGACAAUGCUUUAUUCCUGAUAGAUACACGGGUUGAACAAAAACCAACAAAAACCAGCCUUAAAUCAUCUCCCACACCAACGAGUGCAGUGCUAAGCAUAGGAGAUGAUGGCCGUAUCAUAGAACAUUCAACGGAUUCUGGCAAGAUCAGUUCUAAUGGAACCUUCGAUGUGUUAUAUACUGAGCUUGGCUGCCCUCCUUCUCCAGUGCCCAGCAAUCAUUCCUUUGAGCCUAGCAGUCCUUCACCCUCAGUGUCCAGCAGUGCCCCAUCAGAAGAAAUCAUACAGAAGAGAAACACAUUAGAGAAAACUCAACACAGAGUAAAAGCAAAGAAAGAAAAAAAGCCUGAUGAUGAUGCUUUGAAUACCUUUGACAGACACUUAGCAAAGAAAAUAAAAGUAGAUAAGUUUGCUAGAGCUAUAGGGCACGUGGCAGAAAGUGCAGCUGAAAAGAUGCCUUAUCAUACUCAACUUCAGUUUAUGGAGAAAAUGAUUGGAGUUAUUAAAGAUAUAGAUUGUUCUAAUACUGCAGCAAAUCAUCAAAUUCAAGAAAGAUAAUUCUAAGAAAGUAAAUGGUGGAAAUAUAUAUGUUUUAUAUCAACA